rnacentral:tRNA from 1 species
GGCCGGCCUGUUGUCGGUCGUCAAGGCGCAGGGCGCGCUCGAAUCGCGCCUCAAGCCGCUCGGCUACGACGUUCAAUGGUUCGAAUUCCCGGCCGGCCC